CCUACGGGAGGCUGCAGUAGGGAAUAUUGGACAAUGGGUGCGAGCCUGAUCCAGCCAUGCCGCGUGCAGGAAGAAGGCGUUAUGCGUUGUAAACUGCUUUUGCCAGGGGAUAAAAUAACUGUGCGCAGUUGAGUGACGGUACCUGGUGAAUAAGCCACGGCUAACUACGUGCCAGCAGCAGCGGUAAUACGUAGGUGGCAAGCGUUGACCGGAUUUAUUGGGUGCGUAGGGUGCGCAGGCGGUCAGGUGUGAAAUAUCUCAGCUUAACUGAGAGGGUGCCAUUGAUACUGCGGGGCUUGAGUACAGAUGAGGUAGGCGGAAUUGACGGUGUAGCGGUGAAAUGCAUAGAUAUCGUCAAGAACACCGAUAGCGAAGGCAGCUUACCAAGCUGUAACUGACGCUGAGGCACGAAAGUGUGGGGAUCAAACAGGAUUAGAUACCCCUGUAGUC
rnacentral:rRNA from 1 species